UACGAAGGGGGCGAGCGUUGUUCGGAUUUACUGGGCGUAAAGCGCGCGCAGGCGGUCAUCUACGUCUGGGGUGAAAGCCCGGAGCUCAACUCCGGGAUUGCCUUGGAUACGGGAUGACUUGAGGAUCGGAGAGGCAAGGGGAAUUCCACGUGUAGCGGUGAAAUGCGUAGAGAUGUGGAGGAACACCUGUGGCGAAGGCGCCUUGCUGGCCGAUUUCUGACGCUGAGGCGCGAAAGCGUGGGGAGCAAACAGG
rnacentral:rRNA from 1 species